AAUGAAGGGAAUGCCAAGAAAUUCGUUAAUACCUUAAAAUAAAAUAAACAACACGACACUUCCGGUAAGGUUUUCCGAUCUAGACUGGGACGAUGAAGAACAUAAUAAUUCUUAUUUUCAUUAUCUUAAACUUUGUGACUGAAUUACAUUGUUUAACUGAUGGUGUUGAGAAAGUCGUGAAAAAAGGUCAUACAUUCAAAUCGAUCCCUAAUCUACAAUCAACAACCCCCACAAAUAAGGACAUUAUAGAAAAUCCUUCUGAAGAUAACAACAGACCCUUAAUUGGUAAAACUAAACUAACGAUACACGUGAAUAGGAAAACGAAAAAGAUAAAACCUCUUUUGGGAUGUGUAUCU